UGCGUAGGCGGGUCUUUAAGUCAGGGGUGAAAUCCUGGAGCUCAACUCCAGAACUGCCUUUGAUACUGAGGAUCUUGAGUUCGGGAGAGGUGAGUGGAACUGCGAGUGUAGAGGUGAAAUUCGUAGAUAUUCGCAAGAACACCAGUGGCGAAGGCGGCUCACUGGCCCGAUACUGACGCUGAGGACGAAAGCUGGGGAGCAAACA
rnacentral:rRNA from 1 species